rnacentral:rRNA from 1 species
GACGAACGCUGGCGGCGUGCUUAACACAUGCAAGUCGAACGGAAAGGCCCUGCUUUUGUGGGGUGCUCGAGUGGCGAACGGGUGAGUAACACGUGAGUAACCUGCCCUUGACUUUGGGAUAACUUCAGGAAACUGGGGCUAAUACCGGAUAGGAGCUCCUGCUGCAUGGUGGGGGUUGGAAAGUUUCGGCGGUUGGGGAUGGACUCGCGGCUUAUCAGCUUGUUGGUGGGGUAGUGGCUUACCAAGGCUUUGACGGGUAGCCGGCCUGAGAGGGUGACCGGCCACAUUGGGACUGAGAGACGGCCUAGACUCCUACGGGAGGCAGCAGUGGGGAAUAUUGCACAAUGGGCGGAAGCCUGAUGCAGCAACGCCGCGUGCGGGAUGACGGCCUUCGGGUUGUAAACCGCUUUCGCCUGUGACGAAGCGUGAGUGACGGUAAUGGGUAAAGAAGCACCGGCUAACUACGU